CUGAAAAAGGUCCAUCUAGCCAAAGCUAUCGGAGAAGGCAAUGGCACCCCACUCCAGUACAUCUUGCCUGGAAAAGCCCAUGGACGGAGGAGCCUGGUAGGCUGCAGUCCAUGGGGUCGCUGAGGGUCGGACAUGACUGAGUGACUUCACUUUCACUUUUCACUUUCAUGCAUUGGAGAAGGAAAUGGCAACCCACUCCAGUGUUCUUGCCUGGAGAAUCCCAGGGAUGGGGGAGCCUGGUGGGCUACUGUCUAUGGGGUCACACAGAGUCGGACACGACUGAAGUGACUUAGCAGCAGCAGCAGCAGCAGCCAAAGCUAUGGUUUUGCCAGUAGUCAUGUAUGGAUGUGAGAGUUGGACCUUAAAGAAGGCUGAGUGCUGAAUAAUUGAUGCUUUUGAACUGUGGUGUUGGAGGAGACUCUUGAGAGUCCCUUAGACUGCAAGAUCAAACCAGUCAAUCCUAAGGGAAAUCAGUCCUGAAUAUUCAUUGGAAGGACUGAUGCUGAAGGUGAAUCUCUAGUACUUUGGGCCGCCUGAUGCAAAGAACUGACUCCUUAGAAAAGACCCUGAUGCUGGGAAAGAUUGAAGGCAGGAGAAGGGGACACAAAGGAUGAAAUAGUUGGAUGGCAUCACAGACUCAAUGGACAUGAGUUUGAACAAGCUCUGGGAGUUGGUGAUGGACAGGGAAGCCUGGUGUGCUGUAGUCCAUGGAGUUGCAAAGACUGAGUGACUGAACUGAAUUGAGCUAGGAGUGCAGAAGCCCAGGCUCUGAGUCUUCCCCACUAAAAAGGAUCUAUAUUUCAACAGGAUUCCCGGGUGGCCUAAUGCAGAACAACAGUUGAGAAGCACUAGUGUAGAGAUUAUCCUGCUUCACAGGUGUGGAAACGGGUCCGGAAAUGGCAAGGAAUGUAUCCUAGAAGUCUUCCUUUGUGGCAUAUUCUAGAAAAGAAGAGGAAGAGGAGUGAGAUUUCCCUGGUGGGUCCAGUGGUUAAGAAUCCAUCUUCCAUUACGGGGGGCGUGGGUUUGAUCCCUGCUCGGGGAACUAAGAUCCCACAUGCCACAGAGCAACUAAGCCUGUGAGCCGCAACUACAGAAAGUCUGAACACUGCAACAAAAACCCAACGCAGGUGAAUUUUUAAAAAGGAGGAGAGAGGAAGACUGUAAAGGAAGGAGCAUUACACAUUUUCAUAAGCAUCCACAAUGCAUCAGAUAUUAUUCGAGUUGCUGGAUGAGCAAGUGCUGUCCCUAAAGAGUUCAUAUACUAAUAGAAAGAAAAAAAUGCUUUUAAAGUGCUUAUCGUCUAAAAUAUUUCAGGUACUGAUAAGUAUACUAUGAAGAGUCUAAAAGAGAAUAGUAUGGUAAAGAGUGACUAUUUCGUUAAGGCAUGAAGAGGUUCCCUCUAAGAGUUGACAUCUGGGUUAAGACCUUGUAUUAGUUUCCUACUGCGGCUGUAACGAAUUGCCAGAAACUUAAUAACUUAAAACAAUAACAUAAAUUUAUUGUCUCACAGUUCUGGAGGUCAGAGGUCCAACACAGGUGUAACUGGGCUAAAACCAAGUUGUCAGCAAGGCAGCACUCCUUCUGAGGGCUCGAGUUCCUCGCCUUCACCAGCCUUUAGAAGGUGUACUCUUUCCUUUACUGUGGCUUCGUCCUGCAACUUCAAAGUCAGCAGAAGGCAGAGUUGCACCUUCAAAUCUCUGAUUCUGAUACUUACUCUCCUGUCUCCUUCAUUCACUUAUAAAGGACCCUUAUGAUUACCUUGGACCCACUGAAAUAAUCCAGGAUAAUCUUCUCAAGAUUCUUAAUCACAUUUACCAAGUCCCUUAUGCUGUGUAGGGUUCUAAGGAUUAGGAUGUGGGCAUCACUAGGUACCAUUCCCACACUAGGUGUGAUUCUACCAAUCACAGACCUACAUGGUGAAACAAAGGCAAGCUGCAAAUCUUAGGAAAGAGCAUUCCAAACAGAAGGAAGAGUAAGUGCAAAGGCCCUGGAGUGGAAUAAACAUAGCAUUCUUACGGGAUGGAAAUACA
rnacentral:lncRNA from 1 species